AGUCGGAUAGCUGGCUCAAAUGGUGCUUCAAUUCCCAGUUUUCCAGGGAAUAUCCAUACUGCUUUCCAGAGUGGUUGUAUCCAUUUGCAAUGCCACCAGCAAU
rnacentral:pre_miRNA from 1 species